UUGCCGCUUGUGUAUGAUGACAAUUGCCACCUAUUUUGACCUGUUGCUUGCCAUCCCUAUCUUCCAUGUGCAAGCAGCAGAAGAAUACAAUUCUUGUGGAUUAUUGAUGCCUUUUUGAUCAUCCAGUGAUUGAGAACAUGUCGGAAAAGAAUCGAGACGCGGAAAGGAUGAAUCGCGAAGGUGGCGCUGAUGCUUGGGGUUCUCAAAGGCCAGAAACACCGCCUUGGGAUGCAGCAGAGUAUAGUCAACUCAUCUCUGCAGGGCCGUUGCUGCCACUACUAGAACAGUAUGCAGGCGUAGGUUCUUAUGACCAAAACACUCUCAGGGGGGCCCCAUGGCAAGUUCAGUCACAAGGCGCUAACACUGACAUAUGUACGGGCAACCAACCUCAACUAGCUAGUAUGGCUAAUCAAGGGCCUUCAUGCAGCACGUGGCAUCAGC